rnacentral:lncRNA from 1 species
AGUUAUCCAACCGGUGGAUUCAUAAAAUAACAAAUGGGUCAGAGUGCAGAUAGCUUGACAAGGAUUGAUGGUGGUGAAGUCUAAUGAUACGUGGUAAGAAUUGGAGUGGGUUUCUGAUUGAUGGUGAUGAAGUCUAAUGCUACGUACUAAGAAUUGGAGUGGGCAGUUCAGAAAGACAGGAACCCUCCAUCGAGGGUCAUUCAAGGGACCACAAAAGAGGACGGGACAUGCUUCACCAGGGUCACUCACGGACUUCCCCAAGCAUUUAAAGGUAGUCCAGGAAUCUACUCAAUAUU